UACGUAGGCAGCGAGCGUUGUUCGGAAUUACUGGGCGUAAAGAGCGUGUAGGCGGCCCGAUAAGUCCGCCGUGAAAGUCCAGGGCUCAACCCUGGAAUGCCGGUGGAAACUGUCGGGCUGGAGUCCGGAAGAGGCGAGUGGAAUUCCUGGUGUAGCGGUGAAAUGCGCAGAUAUCAGGAGGAACACCGGUGGCGAAGGCGGGUCUCUGGGCCGAUACUGACGCUGGAGGAGCGAAAGCGUGGGGAGCGAACAGG
rnacentral:rRNA from 1 species